UUUUUUCCUAUAUUCUUUACGUUGUUUAGGAAUCACGGUCCUCCCUUGGUCCCGUUCAUCAGAAGAUGCCUUCUGAGAAGGUUUAUGUUGAGGCCCAAGAACACGACCCUGGUCAUGGAUCGCCCGACACUGAGCAAGCUCGUGCCCAAUCAUCUUACAAUGAGAGCAAAAAGGAGGGAGCCAUUCAUAUUCCACACCAGCUACAAAAGCAAAGUCUGGACGUUCAACCAAAAGUUGAUCGGAGAGAGGGGACA
rnacentral:lncRNA from 1 species